AGAAGCGCAUACGGUGGAUGCCUUGGCAGUCAGAGGCGAUGAAAGACGUGGUAGCCUGCGAAAAGCUUCGGGGAGUCGGCAAACAGACUGUGAUCCGGAGAUGUCUGAAUGGGGGAACCCAGCCAUCACAAGAUGGUUAUCUUACACUGAAUACAUAGGUGUAAGAGGCGAACCAGGGGAACUGAAACAUCUAAGUACCCUGAGGAAAAGAAAUCAACCGAGAUUCCCUUAGUAGUGGCGAGCGAACGGGGACCAGCCCUUAAGUUGUAUUGAGAUUAGCGGAACGCUCUGGAAAGUGCGGCCAUAGUGGGUGAUAGCCCUGUACGCGAAAAUCCCUUUGCAAUGAAAUCGAGUAGGACGGGGCACGAGAAACCUUGUCUGAAUAUGGGGGGACCAUCCUCCAAGGCUAAAUACUACUGACUGACCGAUAGUGAACCAGUACCGUGAGGGAAAGGCGAAAAGAACCGCGGAGAGCGGAGUGAAAUAGAUCCUGAAACCGUAUGCGUACAAGCAGUGGGAGCCCACUUUGUUGGGUGACUGCGUACCUUUUGUAUAAUGGGUCAGCGACUUAUUUUCAGUGGCGAGCUUAACCGAAUAGGGGAGGCGUAGCGAAAGCGAGUCUUAAUAGGGCGUCUAGUCGCUGGGAAUAGACCCGAAACCGGGCGAUCUAUCCAUGGGCAGGUUGAAGGUUGGGUAACACUAACUGGAGGACCGAACCGACUACCGUUGAAAAGUUAGCGGAUGACCUGUGGAUCGGAGUGAAAGGCUAAUCAAGCUCGGAGAUAGCUGGUUCUCCUCGAAAGCUAUUUAGGUAGCGCCUCAUGUAUCACUGUAGGGGGUAGAGCACUGUUUCGGCUAGGGGGUCAUCCCGACUUACCAAACCGAUGCAAACUCCGAAUACCUACAAGUGCCGAGCAUGGGAGACACACGGCGGGUGCUAACGUCCGUCGUGAAAAGGGAAACAACCCAGACCGUCAGCUAAGGUCCCAAAGUCAUGGUUAAGUGGGAAACGAUGUGGGAAGGCUUAGACAGCUAGGAGGUUGGCUUAGAAGCAGCCACCCUUUAAAGAAAGCGUAAUAGCUCACUAGUCGAGUCGGCCUGCGCGGAAGAUGUAACGGGGCUCAAACCAUGCACCGAAGCUACGGGUAUCAUCUUAUGAUGAUGCGGUAGAGGAGCGUUCUGUAAGCCUGUGAAGGUGAGUUGAGAAGCUUGCUGGAGGUAUCAGAAGUGCGAAUGCUGACAUGAGUAACGACAAUGGGUGUGAAAAACACCCACGCCGAAAGACCAAGGUUUCCUGCGCAACGUUAAUCGACGCAGGGUUAGUCGGUCCCUAAGGCGAGGCUGAAAAGCGUAGUCGAUGGAAAACAGGUUAAUAUUCCUGUACUUCUGGUUAUUGCGAUGGAGGGACGGAGAAGGCUAGGCCAGCCUGGCGUUGGUAGUCCAGGUUUAAGGUGGUAGGCUGAGAUCUUAGGUAAAUCCGGGAUCUUAAGGCCGAGAGCUGAUGACGAGUGUUCUUUUAGAACAUGAAGUGGUUGAUGCCAUGCUUCCAAGAAAAGCUUCUAAGCUUCAGGUAACCAGGAACCGUACCCCAAACCGACACAGGUGGUUGGGUAGAGAAUACCAAGGCGCUUGAGAGAACUCGGGUGAAGGAACUAGGCAAAAUGGCACCGUAACUUCGGGAGAAGGUGCGCCGGUGAGGGUGAAGCAUUUACUGCGUAAGCCCACGCCGGUCGAAGAUACCAGGCCGCUGCGACUGUUUAUUAAAAACACAGCACUCUGCAAACACGAAAGUGGACGUAUAGGGUGUGACGCCUGCCCGGUGCCGGAAGGUUAAUUGAUGGGGUUAGCGCAAGCGAAGCUCUUGAUCGAAGCCCCGGUAAACGGCGGCCGUAACUAUAACGGUCCUAAGGUAGCGAAAUUCCUUGUCGGGUAAGUUCCGACCUGCACGAAUGGCGUAACGAUGGCGGCGCUGUCUCCACCCGAGACUCAGUGAAAUUGAAAUCGCUGUGAAGAUGCAGUGUAUCCGCGGCUAGACGGAAAGACCCCGUGAACCUUUACUAUAGCUUUGCACUGGACUUUGAAUUUGCUUGUGUAGGAUAGGUGGGAGGCUUUGAAGCGUGGACGCCAGUCUGCGUGGAGCCAACCUUGAAAUACCACCCUGGCAACUUUGAGGUUCUAACUCAGGUCCGUUAUCCGGAUCGAGGACAGUGUAUGGUGGGUAGUUUGACUGGGGCGGUCUCCUCCUAAAGAGUAACGGAGGAGUACGAAGGUGCGCUCAGACCGGUCGGAAAUCGGUCGUAGAGUAUAAAGGCAAAAGCGCGCUUGACUGCGAGACAGACACGUCGAGCAGGUACGAAAGUAGGUCUUAGUGAUCCGGUGGUUCUGUAUGGAAGGGCCAUCGCUCAACGGAUAAAAGGUACUCCGGGGAUAACAGGCUGAUACCGCCCAAGAGUUCAUAUCGACGGCGGUGUUUGGCACCUCGAUGUCGGCUCAUCACAUCCUGGGGCUGAAGCCGGUCCCAAGGGUAUGGCUGUUCGCCAUUUAAAGUGGUACGCGAGCUGGGUUUAGAACGUCGUGAGACAGUUCGGUCCCUAUCUGCCGUGGACGUUUGAGAUUUGAGAGGGGCUGCUCCUAGUACGAGAGGACCGGAGUGGACGAACCUCUGGUGUUCCGGUUGUCACGCCAGUGGCAUUGCCGGGUAGCUAUGUUCGGAAAAGAUAACCGCUGAAAGCAUCUAAGCGGGAAACUUGCCUCAAGAUGAGAUCUCACUGGAACCUUGAGUUCCCUGAAGGGCCGUCGAAGACUACGACGUUGAUAGGUUGGGUGUGUAAGCGCUGUGAGGCGUUGAGCUAACCAAUACUAAUUGCCCGUGAGGCUUGACC
rnacentral:rRNA from 1 species